CCCUCCUAACUCCACAUGUUCCUCUAUUACAGGUGCCUCAUUCCUUUUGAUAUCGACGUCACUUUACUUUCUAUGCCCACCGCCCAACACUCAAAUUCCACGCACUAACGACAAAUAAUCACUAUAACAUUAUCAAUAAGUUUGGUCACGAGUGUAACCUUCAAGAUACUUUCACGUAAAAUAUCUAAUAAUCUAAUGUUGCGUGGCUUAUUUGGCUACACUCUUUGAGCUUGCUUCCAAUAAAACUCAGAUUGUACUAUUUUCAAUCAGCCCCAGUAAUGUUAGUUACACAUAUGCUAUCACAUGAUAUGUAUACUCAUUGACUAUACCAACCUAACAUUUAUCUACCAUGCCUUCAACUUCAACUUUGAAUAUCAAAAAUCCAUUUAAAAUCAUAUCUUCAAUAAUUACUUCACGUUGUUAUUCUUUGAACAAAAAAUAAGACAUGUCUUUGUCAAAUCAAAUAAUACUAGUAGUAACAAACAGUGGGUGAUUUGCUUAAGGAUACAACAACAUAAGGUGGUAAGUUACAUAAUAAAUGUGUCAUGCAUAUCUGGCCAUUUGUAGCAGAGAAAGGAUAUUUUCAAGAUUGUGUAACGUGUCUUCCCUCCGUGAUUGUCAUUAAAGAAUGUCUUUAUUUCUAGUAGUAAUAAUUGUCAUGUAUUUUAGGCAUUUCUCAAUUCAACUUUAUGCAUAUUUGUUGCUUGAAUUAGUCAACUAUGGAAAAUAUAUUGGAAUUUACCCCACCGCCCCAUAAUAAAUGAAACAUUUACAACAGAAAUUUGUUCCAAAAUAAAUUUGCUUUCAUUGUUUCUUGUAUGUUCUAACCGUACAUUCCACUCCCUCACACAUUAAAUAUCAUUUUAGUGACUUUUAAAAAAAUUAAAUUAUUUUAAUAAUAAAAUUAGUAUUACUAUUUGUUAAAUAUUUUUGUUUAGAUAGGAACCAAAAUAUUCCAGGAACAUUGAGGUCUUGAAUCAAUAGAGUAAAUUUUCAAAAUGAUGGACAUGAUUGACCUGCAAAGUUAUCAUUUUAAUACACAAGUUAAUAAGAGAAUGGGGAUUAAUGUGAGAAUCAUAAUAAUUUGAAUACUUGAAAUGAUGCAUUUUACUCUUAUAUACUAAGAGCAGUUUGAAACUGUUCAUGUGUGAUGCACGUGCCGAGCAGACAACCGUCAUAUUUGAUAAAACGAUGGUAGAUGUGCUUGAAGGCGGAAUCACCUGCUUCUAGCUAGAACGGAAGUCUACCUGCUUUGCGUGUCCUUCACUCGAGAUAUGCUCUUGGGCAUUUUUCUACGGGUCUUGCUAACGUCCUAGAACAGUUUCUCCGAAAUCUUAAUUCCUUUGUUGUAGAGCGAGGGCUUGCAAUGUGCACCUUUAGGUUGGCUAACAAAUGAAGUAAGUGAAGAAUCUUGAUGGGCCAUCACUAGCAAUGGGAGUAGAUGCAUUAAAAGUUUCAACCUUGAUCAAUGAUGUUUUGCGGAAAAUUCUGAUGUGUGUCCUUAUGCGUGAUGGUAAUAAUGUCCCAUCAUAUCCUAAAUACUCAAGUGCUCUAAACAGUCUUCGACAAGACCUUGACUGUUGAUAGUGUAGUUUGCACUUCCCAAUGUGGUAGAUUAUAUUGUUCACGAUUGCGGAAAUGCGUAUAAAAAGUUCUUGGAAUGUUAAUCCACCAUCUUUGGACUAUCUCAAUUUUUGAGAAAUUUUUACUUUUCU
rnacentral:lncRNA from 1 species